GAGCGAGGAGUGAACAUGGAUCCCCGUGUAGACCAGACAGUUUGGCUUACAGCAAGGAAGAAGCCGUUCUUGGGGGUGGUAAAUACGUACGUGACGGUGACGCAGAAGUCACAACCGUAUGGGCAGAUCACAGGUGAGAAAGAAGGCCGGAGCAUCUGGAAGCCAUUCUCAAGGUUACACAGCCCUCACACGGAGCUCCCGUGAGGGCUCUUUGCACGUCACUGGAUUAAAUGCCAACAUGUCAUUGAAAAAUAUCCGUACCUUGAUCCGUAAUUUUCUCUUCAACAGCAAAAUACAGAAGCUCAAGUUUCUAAUGAGGGUGUUUCAAAAUUAAACAAUAGUUUGACA